rnacentral:lncRNA from 1 species
AAUUGAUUCAAAUAAAAUAUUAUCUAUUAUUUUAUUAAAAAUUAUAGCUGUGGAACAGGUACAAAAUGUACAUUAAAUGAGAAAUUUACAAAUAAUGGGCCCUACAAUUUAAAAUUUGCAUUGGUAAAAGGAUGAAUUUUCAUUUCUGUGACUUUUUUUUACCCCAACAGUCUCUUUCUCUUCUCUCCUCUCUUUUUUCUUCCCUUAUCUGUUUUCUUUCCUUCCUCAGACUACUCACUUCUACUGGUUGCAUUUUUUUAGCCCAGCAGUCUCUUCCUCUUCCUUUUUUUCAUUUUUCUUUUCUUCUCUUUUUUCUUCCUUCCCCAGACCGCUAGACUUUCGCCAGUUGCAUUUCUUCUUCCCAUUUAAUUUUCUUAUUGCAUCUCUUCAAGUCAGCUGCCUACCAAAGCCUCCGACACGCAUCGAUGACGUAUCGAAAGUGUAUCGAUGUCCAAUACGUGUCGAACACCGAUACAUUGUCGCUGGCAGUGUGUAGGUACGUCUGAGGCUGCAUUUAAUUAAUACCUCGACUAGAAGUGAUAUGUUAUUCUUCCAUUCAAUACAUAGAAGAAGAAAAGUGUCGAGCUUAUAGCAGUUCUUGAUUAUAUAAAUCGUUAGUUCCACUUCGAAUUGCUUUGAUCGAAGUAACAUUCCAAUUGGAAGUGUAAUCUUGAAUCCUUCAAUAAUAAUUGGAACAACGUGCAAUUGUAUUCUCAAGUCAUUGAUGACACUAGCAAGACAUUUUUAGUUAGAGGAACACAAUCAAACUUGCAAAAUAAUAUAGUAUCUGAUAUCUUAUCACAAUUAUUCUCUAUUUGAUCACAUACUUUUCAAUAAUUACAUCAUUUUCAAUAUUAUCAAAUGCACCAUUCUAAAUAUAUGCAAUCAAACUAACAUUUAACCAUUGAUCCUCGAUUCAAUUCUGCAGAUGAUUUUUGACAUUGGUCAUAGCAGAAAAUGCUUUAUCGACUGUAGCAGUAGCCAAGGGAAGAACUAAGGCUAAUGUUAUAAGCUUGAAGGGAAUGUUGAAGCAUAAAGUGACGCAAUCAUACUAAUGAAAGGGCAAGGUAACCAAUCAUAAUUU